CAUACAGAUCUUUUGCUUUGCAGUGAAUAAUUUCUGAUGCAUAAAUUGACUCUUUAAUGUGUCAACUGAUAAAGACAACUGUCUCUGUUCUACUGGUGGAGAGGGACACACCUCUGAAAGUGGGACACAAAAACAUAAAUUUAUUCAGGACAGGAACAUUUUUUUUGUUUGAUUUUUUUUUUUUUUUUUUAAUCAAAAAAUGAAAAUGGCUAACAUGCAAGUCCGUCAAAAGAACUGAAAUAAGGAGGCAGUCUGCAGAGUUUUAGAUACAAGCUGAGCAUGCAGUAAUGUGUGAGACUUUACGGACAGCUUCCAACAGUGUUCAAUGGAAACCGGGUGUAAAUUUGUGCUUUUCGCCUUCUAUUAUUUUCUAUGGGACGUAUUUUUUUGGAAAAAGAGGAAAACGAUUCAUUGGAAACUGCCGGUCCAGAUGAAGCUGCUCUCUGUUCCUGUGUAUUUCUCCCCACACCGGCUGAAAAAACUAAAGUAAACUGCAAAAAAGGGAACAGCGCAAAGGACCAGAUUCAAGG